ACCGUCUAGAUUUCUUACCCCUCAGAUUUAAAUGUCAAUCUGAGGGGCUGUAAAAGGAGGAAAAGUAAAACGGAAGUGGACUUGGAGUCUUCAGUGGCAUACAAGUUCAUUUGAAACAAAC
rnacentral:snoRNA from 1 species